ACCUCCCGGGUUGUUGGCUCCGCCACUUCUCUGUGCAGCCUGUUUCAAUGCCUGAUCAUCCUUUCAGUGAAGCAAUUGUUCCUCAUAUCUAAUCUAAACCUUCCCUGGCACAACUUGAGGGUGUUUCUUCC